GAUGAACGCUAGCUACAGGCUUUAACACAUGCAAGUCGAGGGGCAGCAUGAAAGGACUUCGGUUCUUUUUGAUUGGCGACCGGCGCACGGGUGCGUAACGCGUAUCGAACCUGCCUCAUACUCGGGGGAUAGCCUUGCGAAAGUAAGAUUAAUACCCGGCGGUCUCGGAUGGCCGCAUGACUGUCCGAGUGAAGAUUUUAUCGGUAUGAGAUGGCGAUGCGUCCCAUUAGCUUGUUGGUGAGGUAAUGGCUCACCAAGGCAUCGAUGGGUAGGGGUUCUGAGAGGAAGGUCCCCCACAUUGGAACUGAGACACGGUCCAGACUCCUACGGGAGGCAGCAGUGGGGAAUAUUGCACAAUGGGCGAAAGCCUGAUGCAGCGACGCCGCGUGAAUGAUGAAGGUCUUCGGAUCGUAAAAUUCUGUCCUAAGGGAAGAUAAUGACGGUACCUUAGGAGGAAGCACCGGCUAACUACGUG
rnacentral:rRNA from 1 species